UUGAACAUGAGAGUUUGAUCCUGGCUCAGGAUGAACGCUGGCGGCGUGCUUAACACAUGCAAGUCGAACGAAGCACUUUCUUACGAUCCCUUCGGGGUGACGAGUUAGUGACUGAGUGGCGGACGGGUGAGUAACGCGUGGGUAACCUGCCUUAUACAGGGGGAUAACAGUUGGAAACGGCUGCUAAU
rnacentral:rRNA from 1 species